rnacentral:rRNA from 1 species
UACGAAGGGUGCAAGCGUUGCUCGGAAUUAUUGGGCGUAAAGGGUAGGUAGGUGGUCGCAAAAGUCCGAGGUGAAAUCCCUGAGCUUAACUCAGGACGUGCCUUGGAAACUUUGUGACUAGAGUACUGGAGAGGUUCGUGGAAUUCCCGGUGUAGCGGUGAAAUGCGUAGAGAUCGGGAGGAACAUCAGAGGCGAAGGCGACGAACUGGACAGUUACUGACACUCAACUACGAAAGCGUGGGGAGCAAACAGG